GGUGAACGCUGGCGGUAGGCCUAACACAUGCAAGUCGAACGGCAGCACAGUAAGAGCUUGCUCUUACGGGUGGCGAGUGGCGGACGGGUGAGGAAUACAUCGGAAUCUACUUUUUCGUGGGGGAUAACGUAGGGAAACUUACGCUAAUACCGCAUACGACCUACGGGUGAAAGCAGGGGAUCUUCGGACCUUGCGCGAUUGAAUGAGCCGAUGUCGGAUUAGCUAGUUGGCGGGGUAAAGGCACACCAAGGCGACGAUCCGUAGCUGGUCUGAGAGGAUGAUCAGCCACACUGGAACUGAGACACGGUCCAGACUCCUACGGGAGGCAGCAGUGGGGAAUAUUGGACAAUGGGCGCAAGCCUGAUCCAGCCAUACCGCGUGGGUGAAGAAGGCCUUCGGGUUGUAAAGCCCUUUUGUUGGGAAAGAAAAGCAGCAGGUUAAUACCCCGCUGUUCUGACGGUACCCAAAGAAUAAGCACCGGCUAACUUCGUG
rnacentral:rRNA from 1 species